rnacentral:rRNA from 1 species
AUUGAACGCUGGCGGCAGGCCUAACACAUGCAAGUCGAGCGAGUGGCGGACGGGUGAGUAAUGUCUGGGGAACUGCCUGAUGGAGGGGGAUAACUACUGGAAACGGUAGCUAAUACCGCAUACACUCGGAUGUGCCCAGAUGGGAUUAGCUAGUAGGUGGGGUAAAGGCUCACCUCGGCGACGAUCCCUAGCUGGUCUGAGAGGAUGACCAGCCACACUGGAACUGAGACACGGUCCAGACUCCUACGGGAGGUAGCAGGGGGGAAUAUUGCACAAUGGGCGCAAGCCUGAUGCAGCCAUGCCGCGUGUAUGAAGAAGGCCUUCGGGUUGUAAAGUACUUUCAGCGGGGAGGCGUUACCCGCAGAAGAAGCACCGGCUAACUCCGUGCCAGCAGCCGCGGUAAUUC